CAGAAAUAAAGGCUUAUGGGUGUGUAAAAUAUUAUUGUUCUAAGAUUUUUAAUUCAUAGAUGUUAGCGUAUGACAUUUUACUGAGAACAUCACAGCAAGAUGAAACAAAUAUUGUUGCAUUCCCUAGAUUCUCCCAUUUUAUUUGCACCAUAAAGCACCACAGUGGAGGUGAAAUAAUAAUACCCAUAACACCUAGCGGUCAAACAGGGAAAUGGUUUCAAUAGUUUUAAAGAGCCCCACAAUGGAGGUGUCAUAAUACCCAUAACACCUAGAGGUCAAACAGGGAAAUGGUUUCAAUAGUUUUUCUGAGAAAAAACAUGAGCUUGCGCACACCCAGACUUUUUUUAUGUGGAGGUUCUGAUAAAAAAGAAAUAGAGUCACACACUCCAUAUAUAAACUCCCAGUAAUUUAUUGGGUAAAUCAACAACAUUUCAGCAUCACUGUGUUUACUCCAGGUUUGUGGUGGCAGGGUAACCUAGUGGUUAGAGCAUUGGACUACUAACCGAAAGGUUGCAAGUUCAUAUCCCCGAGCUGACAAGGUACUAGUCUGUCAUUCUGCCCCUGAACAGGCAGUUCCUAGGCUGUCAUUAAAAAUAAGAAUUUGUUCUUAACUUACUUGCCUAGUUAAAUAAAGGUUAAAAAAUAAAAGGUUAAUUCAUGUCAUGAAUACUUGAACCAGGUUAUGUAGACGAUUAGUGUAACCAAUAGUGAGGGGUGUGUCAAAAUUAUUAUGUUAAUAAGAAUGAAUUAGUGAAACUGUUAAAAAACAAAAGUUUAUGGCAUGUUGAAUAUGCUAUUGUUAUCAUAUGGGAACAUCAUUGAAUAUUGUACAUAACAUUAGCAUCAAUAUACAUUAUUGUUUAAUUCAAUUUCACAUAUUUAAUUGUUUCCUAUUUCAAUUCAUUUUUUUGUUACAUGUAAUGUUUUGGUUCAAACAUAAUGCAUAAUAAGCAUCAUCAACAGGGGGAACAUAUUGGAUGUAUACUAAUAAGCUGUAGAAAGAAUAAAUCCAUUUAAAAGAGAGAAUUGUUCAUAAGAAGGGCUUGAGAUCAAAGUCAAUAUUCAGACCACUAGGGGUCAAUGUUUUUAGGAUAUCCAGUAAGCCUCCCCUUGUAGUAGUACGAUCUCCAUGUUAACUCCUCUCCUUGGUAGAGCAACAUGCUCAAUGCCUGUGUAUUGGAGGUAUGAGAUUGGAAGGUUAGCUUCAACAAAGUGAGCUGCUAUUGGAUAGUCAAUGUUCUUACACCUGAUUGAGCUGCGGUGUUCAGCUAUGUGUUGUUUAAUUGUCUUUUCUUUUGUCCUACAUAGGCUUUCCCACAUGAACAGGUGAUGAGAUAAAUUAUUUGCUUGGUCUUACAUGAGAUGAUCCCCUAACAGGGAUGUUUCUACCUGUAUGUGUGUGUCUGAAGUAGGAUGUUUUUAUAGUUCUAUUUGCACUGAGCCAUGUUUGUAGUUCCCAUUUGGAAUGGGUGUCAAGAGUGUCUGAGUGGCCCAGGGGGCAGGUCAGAUCUCACCAAGAUAUCUCCAAGAGUGUCUGAGUGGGCUCAGGGGGCAGGUCAGAUCUCACCAAGAUAUCUCCAAGAGUGUCUGAGUGGGCUCAGGGGGCAGGUCAGAUCUCACCAAGCUAUCUCUAAGAGUGUCUGAGUGGGCUCAGGGGUCAGGUCAGAUCUCACCAAACUAUCUCAAAUAUUGCGACCACACUUAUAGACCACCAGUGGGGGUUCCUUUUUUUUGUUUGCAAUUUUUUUGUUUGUCUGAUUGCAGAAUAUUCCAGUGCUUUUUCAGGAUUGCUUUCAUUUUCUCUGAAUACUUGGUGUACUUGGUGCAAAAGAUGGUUGUUUUUCUUCUUUGGUAGAUUGUUUUGCAAUUCCUCUCUUGGUUUUUGAGAUGUUUUCAUCAUUGCAGCAUCGAGUUGUGUCCUUGUAGCCUCUCAUUUUGAAAUUAUCUGUCUUUUUAAAAAAUUCUGUCAAAAUCCAAUAGUUUUUCCAUCAUACAUUUUUCCUAUAGAGAAUUGUAGAAACACUUCAAAUGUUUUGUGUAUGUUGGGGUGGUGCAGCGGUUCUUGUGGGCACAUUUUGUCAUCAAAGUCUGUCAUUCUCUGGAUUUAUGGUGCUUUCAAGGAAACUGGGAAGUUUGAAUUAUGAUGUUAGUGAUUUUCAGGACGGAGCUCUAGAAAGAGGCCCAAGUUCCCGACUUGUAUUUUCAAGUCGGAUGACUGCUCAAACUGUAUUUUCUCAGUAGGAGCAUGGUUUUUUUCUGGGUUUCCAGUUGUCCUGAAAUCACUGAAGUCUGAUAUUUCCCAGUUUCAGUUGUUUUGAAUGCAGCAGAAGUUAUGCUGGAUUCACAGCAUGGCCAAUGUAUUCAACCUUUUCUGCCCCAUGGUGUUACAGGUGAAUGUUUAUCCUUUUAAGCUUGGAAAAGAGACCAUUAAAUGCAGAUUUGGACCACACAUCCUCUCCACUGAAUUGCUGGCUAGUGGAUGUUUUGCAAUGCUUGCAGUUAGCCACAGAUUCCUUCCAAACCACUCAUUCCAAACCACUCAUUGCUAGCUAAGAUGUUGAUCGUAUGAUGUUGACAUGAUCAGUCCAAUCAAAGCUACUGUAGACAAAACGUGAGUUGACGUCAUUUUAUCUGUGGCCAAUGACCUUGAGCCUUUUGAAUGGGCACUUCUAAUGUAACUCUAGGGCAGCACCCAAUCGGCUUGAAUUUUUAAGCUCUCCCUGUAGAUUUUGUGGUGAUGUAGUGUCUCCAUGAGUGACAGAACACUGAGCCAAUCAAGGCGCAACUACAGAACAUUACCAACUACGCUCAGUAUUUCCUGCUGGCUGCCCCACCACCGCAGAAAGCACUGAGCUAGGCUGAAACAGCUGCAUUUUGGAGCUGCCUUACUCAAUAAAUCAAAAAAGAGACCAUAUUUGUAUGUGGCUUAUUAACUCAAUUAUUUUUUUCUUACAUUAUUUGCAAACUGAUAUAUGACAGGUAUUAAUGCCAAAAUAACAUGCUAAACAGGUGGGGCUCUGUACCUGAAUCUGUACCUGAAUAACAGGUGGGGCUCUGUACCUGAAUAACAGGUGGGUCUCUGUACCUGAAUAACAGGUGGGUCUCUGUACAUGAAUAACAGGUGGGGCUCUGUACCUGAAUAACUCACCUUCUGAACAUUCUAUUCCCAGCCCAAUGUUCUGCAUCACAAUGCCAGCUUUGCUAUUGUUAUUAAUGAGACCUACCUGUGUUAACAUUGUGGGUUUUACCUAAAUUAUUUGUAUUAUUACUAUUGCUACAGCUACUUGGUGAGCAAACUUUUGGUGACCCACAGUGCUAGUGAUGGCUGACACACACCGAUCAAAUGUUAAACAUUUUCUGGUCAUUUAAAAAAAUAUAUAUAUUUCACCUUUAUUUAACCAGGUAGGCUAGUUGAGAACAAGUUCUCAUUUGCAACUGCGACCUGGCCAAGAUAAAGCAUAGCAAUUCAACACAUACAACAACACAGAGUUACACAUGGAAUAAACAAAACAUAGUCAAUAAUACAGUAGUACAUAAGAAAACAAAAAGUACAGUAUAUAUACAGUGAGUGCAGAUGAGGUAGGCUAAGUCAAUAAAUAGGCCAUGGUGGCGAAGUAAACACAAUAUAGCAAUUAAAACACUGGAAUGGUAGAUGUGCAGAAGAUGAAUGUUUCAAGUAGAGAUACUGGGGUGCAAAGGAGCAAGAUAAAUAAAUAAAUACAGUAUGGGGAUGAGGUAGAUAGAUGGGAUGUUUACAGAUGGGCUAUGUACAGUUGCAGUGAUCUGUGAGCUGCUCUGACAGCUGGUGCUUAAAGCUAGUGAGGGAGAUAUGAGUCUCCAGCUUCAGAGAUGUUUGCAGUUCGUUCCAGUCAUUGGCAGCAGAGAACUGGAAGGGAAGACGACCAAAGGAGGAAUUGGCUUUGGGUGUGACCAGUGAGAUAUACCUGCUGGAGCGCGUGCUGCGGGUGGGUGCUGCUAUGGUGACCAGUGAGCUGAGAUAAGGUGGGGCUUUACCUAGCAGAGACUUGUAGAUAACCUGUAGCCAGUGGGUUUGGCGACAAGUAUGAAGCGAGUGCCAACCAACGAGAGCGUACAGGUCGCAAUAGUGGGUAGAGUAUGGGGCUUUGGUGACCAAACGGAUGGCACUGUGAUAGAUUGCAUCCAGUUGGUUGAGUAGAGUGUUGGAGGCAAUUUUAUAGAUGACAUCACCGAAGUCGAGGAUUGGUAGGAUAGUCAGUUUUACGAGGGUAUGUUUGGCAGCAUGAGUGAGGGAUGCUUUGUUGCGAAAUAGGAAGCCAAUUCUACAUUUAAUUUUGGAUUGGAGAUGCUUAAUGUGAGUCUGGAAGGAGAGUUUACAGUCUAGCCAGACACCUAUGUAUUUGUAGUUGUCCACGUAUUCUAAGUCAGAGCCGUCCAGAGUAGCGAUGCUGGACGGGCGAGCAGGUGCGGGCAGCGAUCGGUUGAAGAGCAUGCAUUUAGUUUUAUUUGCGUUUAAGAGCAGUUAGAGGCCACGGAAGGAGAGUUGUAUUGCAUUGAAGCUCGUCUGGAGGUUAGUUAACACAGUGUCCAAAGAGGGGCCAGAAGUAUACAGAAUGGUGUCGUCUGCGUAGAGGUGGAUCAGAGAGUCACCAGCAGCAAGAGCAACAUCAUUGAUGUAUACAGAGAAGAGAGUCAGCCCGAGGCGUGAACCCUGUGGCACCCGCAUAGAGACUGCCAGAGGUCCGGACCACAGGCCCUCCGAUUUGACACACUGAACUCUAUCAGAGAAGUAGUUGGUAAACCAGGCGAGGCAAUAAUUUGAGAAACCAAGGCUGUCGAGUCUGCCAAUAAGAAUGUGGUGAUUGACAGAGUUGAAAGCCUUGGCCAAGUCGAUGAAAACGGCUGCAUAGUAAUGUCUCUUAUCGAUGGCGGUUAUGAUGCCGUUUAGGACCUUGAGCGUGGCUGAGGUGCACCCAUGACCAGCUCAGAAACCAGAUUGCAUAGCGGAGAAGGUACGGUGGGAUUUGAAAUGGUCGGUAAUCUGUUUGUUAAUUUGGCUUUCGAAGACCUUAGAAAGGCAGGGUAAAAUAGAUAUAUGGUCAUGGUUAACCAUAUUUGUUUUCAGAAAAAGGUAUACAACCUAAGUGAAACACAUGUCCCUGUCCUCUUUUUCAAGGUGUGGCUGAAUAUAUAUUAUAUAUAUACUUUAAUAUUAAGAAAUAACACUUUUUUUGAUGGCUUGUUGUUUCUAAAUGGCUGCUGGGUAAGUUGAUAUGCAUCGAAUUCUUCGUUUGUAGGCAUUGCAUUGAGCGAAUGCUGCGCAGGUUCACUGAGUUGCAAACCAAAUGGACAGGUCUAGCUCAUUGAUUUGUAGAUCUGACGCAAUUUCUACAUCAGAUUAUGAGCCAAGCAAGUGUCGCAAUGAGUUAUGUAGUACCCACAGAAGGCCACAGGAGGGGCAAGAGAGCUAUACAACCAUACUGAUUUUUGCCUUAAAAACCCAAAACCUAACAUCCAAUAAAAUGUAUUUAUAACGCCCUUUUUACAUCAGCAGAUGUAAAUUAAUUUACAUGAAUUUACCCUGAUUUCUAGUGAUGGGUAGCGUAGAACACUUUUAGAAACUAUUUUAGUAAUAACAUUAUGUUAGUAAAUACAAAUAUAGUACUAACUAGCAUUUGUAUUAUUCUGUUAAUCAAAACCUGUCUAAGCAUUUAG
ensembl:lncRNA